rnacentral:rRNA from 1 species
UACAGAGGGUGCGAGCGUUAAUCGGAAUUACUGGGCGUAAAGCGUGCGUAGACGGCUAUUUAAGUCGGGUGUGAAAGCCCCGGGCUCAACCUGGGAAUUGCAUUCGAGACUGAAUAGCUAGGGUGCGGUAGAGGGAAGCGGAAUUUCCGGUGUAGCGGUGAAAUGCGUAGAUAUCGGAAGGAACAUCAGUGGCGAAAGCGGCUUCCUGGACCAGCACCGACGUUCAGGCACGAAAGCGUGGGGAGCAAACAGG